UACGUAGGGGGCUAGCGUUGUCCGGAUUUAUUGGGCGUAAAGAGCGUGUAGGCGGCCAGAUAGGUCCGUUGUGAAAACCCGAGGCUUAACCUCGGGACGUCGAUGGAAACCAUUUGGCUAGAGUCCGGAAGAGGAGAGUGGAAUUCCUGGUGUAGCGGUGAAAUGCGCAGAUAUCAGGAAGAACACCCGUGGCUAAGGCGGCUCUCUAGUACGGUACUGACGCUGAGACGCGAAAGCGUGGGGAGCGAACAGG
rnacentral:rRNA from 1 species